rnacentral:lncRNA from 1 species
CAUUGCACUCUACGUUAGAAUGUUGUUUUGCUAAGAAUUUCUUGGCCAAAACACGAGAGGGUAUGGGAUGAGCACUUCUAAUGUGGUAGCAAGAGAUUGAGUUGACUCAUUGAGGUUUAUAAACUUCUAAUUGAGGUUUAGACUCGUCCUUAAUUUGGUAUGGAUGUGAUUCUUGUUAAUUUAGGUAUUUGUUUUCUGAAAAGAAUUUUUGGAAAUAAUUUUGAGAGAGCAAUGCGUAAAGAGGAUUUCUGGUGAGCCCCAACAGUUGUUCCAUCUUGAGAAAAUUAUUGUAUACGAAACCUUCACCGAUGAAUCACAAAAAACUUGCAACAAAGAUUGAAACUUCAUUCAUCUAUUGCAUCUGCAUUCUUUAUA